AAAGUUGAGGCGGGGUGCUGGUGAAUGAAGAUCCACGAGAGGCGGGCCUGCCCGUAGGUCCUCGUUCGUCCGCAUCUGCAGGGCGUGGGCUCGAUUUAGAGCUUCACGCUGGUUCGUCUCUCAUUAGUUAAUGUAUUUUGUUUAAGAGCAAGCUGUAUGCGCGCAGGCGCCUCGGAAAUUUCAUCUGAUAGUCGGACAUGAUGGCUACGCCUUCAACCCCAGCCUAGCCCGGUGUACAGCGCAAGUUCCAGGAUGGCGAGGGCUAGGCAGAGAAGCCCUGUUUGGAAAAACCAAAGAAGAAAAGGAAAAAAACAUGAAUCUGCUGUGUUAGGCGUAGAGGUACAAGCCUGUGAUCCUAGCGCGCAACUGGCAGAGGCAGAAGCUUGAGUUCUAGCCCGGCCUGGGCAUUGCCUAGAUCUUCUAAAUAAAGUAAAAUGAAAUAUUUGAUGUGAUAGUGGGGU
rnacentral:lncRNA from 1 species